CCAUUGCGCCACGGAUGGCCUCUGCCAGUUGCUCAUAACGGCUACGCAGCGGCGAUCCCGGGCGAUAAACCAGCCCCACGGUACGACGCGGCUCCGGCUUAAUGCAUGGCAGAUAAACCACGCCGUCGCGCUUAC
rnacentral:sRNA from 1 species